CUCUUCUUCUUCCGGUAAUUCUGUACCUCUGCAGCAAGACCAAGGGAUUCGUUAACAUAAAAAUGAGUUCUUGCUACACCAUCUCCCUCCCUCUCCUCUUCUUCUUCCUAAAUUUUGUAUAUACUGAAUCAGCACCUAAGUUUCUACGGCAUUACUGCCCAAACACCACCCUCUUUACUCCCAACUCCACCUACCAAUCCAACCUCAACACCCUCCUCUCUUCCCUCUCCUCUGCUGCCGCCGAUGGUGCCGAUGGCUUCGCCAAUGCUACCAUCAGCCAAAACCCUCCCGACCAGGUCCACGGGCUCUUCCUCUGCCGUGGCGACGUCGAUAUUGCCACGUGCGGCGACUGUGUGGCCACUGGAAAACAGGAUAUACUCCAAAGAUGCCCCAACCGGCGAGUCUCUGUGAUCUGGUACGAUGAGUGUAUGUUGAGGUACUCCCAUGGGUCCAUUUACUCCGUCAUGGAACAAGUGCCUUCUUUCACGAAGUUCCAAACCAGGAACAUCACCAAUCCAACCCAGUUCAUGCGAGUCCUGGGAGAGACAAUGGACGACGUCACUGCGAGGGCUUCAGUCGGCAAGUCGGGAAAGAAAGUCGCGGUCAUGGAGGCAAACUUUACGAGCUUGCAGAAGCUGUACACGCUUGCACAGUGCACACCGGACUUGAUAGUGUCCGAGUGCAACACGUGCCUCCGUGCGGCAAUCGCGGGCCUCCCACAGGGAAAGCAAGGUGGGAGGAUGUUCACUCCGAGCUGCAGCAUGAGGUUCGAGAUGUACCCAUUUUAUAAUGCCUCGGCCAUAGCGGCCCUGGUGCCUCCGCCGCCCUACCUUCGUUCUCCUACUGCUCCCGUGACCAGACGUAAAGCACUUCAAAGCAGCACAAUUGACAGUAUAACUGCAUCAACUCCUCUCGUUCAGAACCAAACCCUUGUCUCUAGUCGUCAAAUCUUUGAGCUUGGGUUCUUCACGCCUAAAGGAUCAGCAAAGCAGUACGUAGGAAUAUGGUACAAGAACUUGACUCCCUCCAAAGUUGUCUGGGUGGCCAACAGGGACAAGCCACUGGGACACACAGAUCAAUCUGCGAGUUUAAUAAUUGGCGAAGAUGGAAAUCUGAAGCUUCUUGAUGGGCAACAAAACACUGUGUGGUCUACUAAUGUCAUGACAAAGUCUAACUAUUCUGCAGCACUGCUUUCAGACUUUGGAAACUUUGUUCUUCAAGACAGGAACGCGGUUAUAAUGUGGGAAAGCUUUGAUGAGCCAACUGACACUCUCCUGCCAAACAUGAAGAUCGGAGUAAACGUGAAAACAGGAAAGAAACGAAACUUGAUUUCGUGGAAAGGCGAAGAUGAUCCCUCAUUCGGAAGCUUUGCUGUAGGAUUGACACCAGAAACAGCGCCUCAGCUUUUCACUUGGAAUGGAUCAAGUCCUUACUGGAGAAGCGGACAGUGGGAUAAAACCAAGUUCAUUGGAAUACCGGGCAUGGAAGGGCGUGGGUCCAAUCUCCAGCAAGAUAAUAUACAGGGAACAACAUAUUAUUCCCUCGAUAAUUACAAUAACUACUUCUUUGCAUAUGAUUUCAUCUCAUCUCAAGGAUAUUUUAUGGCGGUUCUUUGGGUCAAUGAGUGGUGGACAUACUGGGAGGCACCGGGCCCAACUAACCCUUGUGAUAUAUACGGAUAUUGCGGCCCCUUUGGAGUUUGCAACCCGCUUAAUUCAUCCAUGUGCAAAUGCUUAAAUGGAUUUAAACCAAGAUCAGAUGAAGAAUGGAACAGAGGAAACUGGACCAGAGGGUGCCUUAGGAAAAUGGAAUUGAAUUGUCAGAAAUCCGCAAAUGCAGCAGCUCCGACGACUGUCAAAAAAGAUACGUUUUGGCAACUGAGUCGGAUCAAGUUGCCUGAUUUUGCUGAUUUUAUAUUGGUAGAUGAUGCAAAGGGAUGUCAAAGUUGGUGCCUAGAAAACUGCUCGUGCUUGGCCUUUUCUUAUGUGAAUGCUAUAGGAUGCAUGGCUUGGAGUAAAGACCUCCUAGAUACUCAGCAACUCUCCAUGGAUGGCGAAGAUCUAUAUAUUCGGUUUGCGGAUGCGGUGUGGGUGCAGAUGGGGGUGUAGAUGCAGAUACAGGUUCAGGUGUACCCAUGCGGACAAAACUUAUCAUCAGCCUAAGUACUAUUUCUUGCAUCAUCUUAUUUGGAGCCGGUAUUUUAAUCUGCGGUCUUUCAAAGUGGAGAGGGAAGUUUAGGAAAAUGACAAUCCCAGGGCUCUUU